rnacentral:rRNA from 1 species
AUUGAACGCUGGCGGCAGGCUUCACACAUGCAAGUCGAACGAGUGGCGGACGGGUGAGUAAUGCUUGGGAAUCUAGCUUAUGGAGGGGGAUAACUACGGGAAACCGUAGCUAAUACAGCGUAACAUAGGAUGAGCACACGUGGGAUUAGGGAGUUGGGAAGGUAAAUGCUCACCAAUACGACGAUCUCUAGCUGGUCUGAUAGGAUACCCAGCCACACUGGGACUGAGACACGGCCCAGACUCCUACGAGAGGCAGCAGUGGGGAAUAUUGCGCAAUGGGGGCAACCCUGACGCAGCCACGCCGCGUGUAUGAAGAAGGCCUUCGGGUUGUAAAGUACUUUCAGUCGGGAGGCGUUACCGACAGAAGAAGCACCGGCUAACUCCGUGCCAGCAGCCGCGGUAAUAC